UACGAAGGGGGCUAGCGUUGUUCGGAAUUGCUGGGCGUAAAGCGCGCGCAGGCGGUCUUCCAAGUCAGUGGUGAAAGCCCGGAGCUCAACUCCGGAACUGCCAUUGAAACUGUUAGACUUGAGGAUGAGAGAGGUGAGUGGAAUUCCCAGUGUAGAGGUGAAAUUCGUAGAUAUUGGGAAGAACACCGGUGGCGAAGGCGGCUCACUGGCUCAUUACUGACGCUCAGGCGCGAUAGCGUGGGGAUCAAACAGG
rnacentral:rRNA from 1 species